rnacentral:rRNA from 1 species
AGAUUGAACGCUGGCGGAAUGCUUUACACAUGCAAGUCGAACGGCAGCACGGGGGCAACCCUGGUGGCGAGUGGCGAACGGGUGAGUAAUACAUCGGAACGUGCCCAGUCGUGGGGGAUAACUACGCGAAAGCGUAGCUAAUACCGCAUACGAACUCUGGUUGAAAGCGGGGGAUCGCAAGACCUCGCGCGAUUGGAGCGGCCGAUGGCAGAUUAGGUAGUUGGUGGGGUAAAGGCUCACCAAGCCGACGAUCUGUAGCUGGUCUGAGAGGACGACCAGCCACACUGGGACUGAGACACGGCCCAGACUCCUACGGGAGGCAGCAGUGGGGAAUUUUGGACAAUGGGCGCAAGCCUGAUCCAGCCAUUCCGCGUGCAGGAUGAAGGCCCUCGGUUGUAAACUGCUUUUGUACGGAACGAAACGCGCUGAGUUAAUACCUCGGCGUAAUGACGGUACCGUAAGAAUAAGCACCGGCUAACUACGUGCCAGCAGCCG